rnacentral:misc_RNA from 1 species
UUAACUAUUUUAUAGUACUCAGACGACACUAAUAUUCAGAGUUUGAUGGUCCUCUGGCGGGCACGCCGGGACGAAUCCCAGGCAAGCCAGGCUCGCGGCCCGCCAAAGCAACAGUUGUAUAACUUCAAGGGUGGGAGGUCUACCCCGAGGGGCAUGAACUCUGUAAUGAUCCUUCCGCAGGUUCACCUACGGAAA